UCCCGUCCGCGGGCGAUGCUGCUGCGGAGGGUGGUCGAGGGAGGCCGGGCGGUAGCCGCCGCGGCCCGUGGCUCGGCAAGUACCAGGAGGGGUCUUGGCAGCGCCGAAGGGCACGUCCGAGAGGCCGCUGUCCGGGGGCCCGCACGUACCGGGAGGAGCCCCGGCCCCUCCACCCGCAUGUGGGGACGGAGCCGGGAGGAUCGCGCGCUGGCCGCCGCCGAAGGACCCCUCGCUCCUCUCCUCCAUCGGCUCUUACCGAGUCCCCGCCCCGGAAUCUGUGGAGGGGCCGCUUAGCCUCGGGAGAGGAAGCAGCCCGGUGAACGGCCACUUUCCUGUUUCUCGGUAUCUGCCGAGCGCCUGUGUGCGAGCCCUCCUGGGCUCUGGGGACUGGCCGUGGACAUGGAGCGGAUGAUGCUCCUCGCGGGACUAGUUAAAUAAGUGAAGGGGCUCGCCGGUUCUCCAGCCCGGACUGCUGCCAGAGGCUUCCUGGAGGUGGCAGCUUUCUUCAAAGGCACCAUCCCGGAGCGCAAGCCCCUGAUGGGCGCAGAAAAUUCGGGACAGACCACGUAGAGGUGGGCUCCCAAGCAGGUGCGGACGGCACCAGGCCGCCCAAGGCAUCGCUGCCACCUGAGCUCCAGCCGCCCACAAACUGCUGCAUGAGUGGCUGCCCCAACUGCGUGUGGGUGGAGUACGCGGACAGGCUGCUGCAGCACUUCCAGGACGGUGGGGAGCGGGCCCUGGCUGCCCUGGAGGAGCACGUGGCUGAUGAGAACCUCAAGGCCUUCCUCAGGAUGGAGAUCCGGCUGCACACCAGGUGCGGAGGCUGAGCCAGCCCUGCUGGACUCCCUCCCGCAGGACGGAGUCCAGGACGCAGCCGCAGCCUCCUUCCUUCACACCCCCUCACAGACUCCUUGUGUCCAACGGGAAUAGGAAGAAUUAGUUACUGACUUCACCUGAGAAAAAAAUAAAUUCUCUAUGGUGGUUUCACAGGA